UACAGAGGAUGCAAGCGUUAUCCGGAAUUACUGGGCGUAAAGCGCACGUAGGCGGAUUGUUAAGUCGGGGGUGAAAUCCUGGAGCUCAACUCCAGAACUGCCUUCGAUACUGGCGAUCUCGAGUUCGGGAGAGGUGAGUGGAACUGCGAGUGUAGAGGUGAAAUUCGUAGAUAUUCGCAAGAACACCAGUGGCGAAGGCGGCAUCCUGGACCGACACUGACGCUGAGGCGCGAAAGCUAGGGUAGCAAACGGG
rnacentral:rRNA from 1 species